CAGUUCGAUCAUAGCUCAGAUUGAACGCUGGCGGGAUGCUUUACACAUGCAAAGUCGGAACGGCAGCACGGACUUCGGUCUGGUGGCGAGUGGCGAACGGGUGAGUAGUAUCGGAACGUGCCUAGUAGCGGGGAUCGCUACGCGAAAGCGUAGCUAAUACCGCAUACGCCCUUCGGGGAAAGCGGGGACCUUCGGGCCUCGCACUAUUGACGGCGAUAUCGGAUUAGCUAGUUGGUGGGGUAACGCUCACCAAGGCGACGAUCCGUAGCUGGUUUGAGAGGACGACCAACCAUAAGGACUGAGACACGGCCCAGACUUUCACACGCGGAGACAGCGAUGAAAUUUUGGACAAUGAGAAACCUGAUCCAGCCAUCGCGCGUGUGCGAUGAAGGCCUUCAGGUUGUAAAGCACUUUUGGCAGGAAAGAAACGGCACAGGAUAAUACCCAUGCAACUGACGGUACCUGCAGAAUAAGCACCGGCUAACUACGUGCCAGCAGCCGCGGUAAUACGUAGGGUGCAAGCGUUAAUCAAAUUACUGGGCGUAAAGCGUGCGCAGGCGGUUCGGAAGAAGAUGUGAAAUCUGAGGCUUAACUUUGGAACUGCAUUUUUAACUACCGAGCUAGAGAGUGUGUCAGAGAGUGGAAUUCCGCCAAUGUAGCAGUGAAAUGCGUAGAUAUGCGGAGGAACACCGAUGGCGAAGGCAGCCUCCUGGGAUAACACUGACGCUCAUGCACAGCGUGGGGAGCAAACGGGUUAGAUACCUGGUGAUCCGCGCCCUAAACGAUGUCAACUAGCUGUUGGGGCCUUCGGGCCUUGGUAGCGCAACUAACGCGUGAAGUUGACCGCCUGGGAAAUACGGUCGCAAGAUUAAAACUCAAAGGAAUUGACGGGGACCCGCACAAGCGGUGGAUGAUGUGGAUUAAUUCGAUGCAACGCGAAAAGCCUUACCCUUGACAUGUCUGGAAUCCCGAAGAGAUUUGGGAGUGCUCGCAAAGAGAACCGGAACACAGGUGCUGCAUGGCUGUCGUCAGCUCGUGUCGUGAGAUGUUGGGUUAAGUCCCGCAACGAGCGCAACCCUUGUCAU
rnacentral:misc_RNA from 1 species